rnacentral:rRNA from 1 species
CAGUCGCCGCGGGAAUACGUAGGUCCCGAGCGUUGUCCGGAUUUAUUGGGCGUAAAGCGAGCGCAGGCGGUUAGAUAAGUCUGAAGUUAAAGGCUGUGGCUUAACCACAGUACGCUUUGGAAACUGUUUAACUUGAGUGCAAGAGGGGAGAGUGGAAUUCCAUGUGUAGCGGUGAAAUGCGUAGAUAUAUGGAGGAACACCGGUGGCGAAAGCGGCUCUCUGGCUUGUAACUGACGCUGAGGCUCGAAAGCGUGGGGAGCAAACGGGAUUAGAUACCCGCGUAGUCCCUGUCUCUUAUACA